CCUACGGGAGGCAGCAGUGAGGAAUAUUGGUCAAUGGACGAGAGUCUGAACCAGCCAAGUAGCGUGAAGGAUGACUGCCCUAUGGGUUGUAAACUUCUUUUAUAUGGGAAUAAAAUGUUCCACGUGUGGGAUUUUGUAUGUACCAUAUGAAUAAGGAUCGGCUAACUCCGUGCCAGCAGCCGCGGUAAUACGGAGGAUCCGAGCGUUAUCCGGAUUUAUUGGGUUUAAAGGGAGCGUAGGUGGAUUGUUAAGUCAGUUGUGAAAGUCUGCGGCUCAACCGUAAAAUUGCAGUUGAAACUGGCAGUCUUGAGUACAGUAGAGGUGGGCGGAAUUCGUGGUGUAGCGGUGAAAUGCUUAGAUAUCACGAAGAACUCCGAUUGCGAAGGCAGUUCACUGGACUGCAACUGACACUGAGGCUCGAAAGUGUGGGUAUCAAACAGGAUUAGAUACCCCUGUAGUC
rnacentral:rRNA from 1 species